CAAAUGACUCUCAGCAACGGAUAUCUUGGCUCUUGCAACGAUGAAGAACGCAGCGAAAUGCGAUACCUAGUGUGAAUUGCAGAAUUCCGCGAAUCAUCGAGUUUUUGAACGCAAGUUGCGCCCGAGGUUUGUCCCAAGGGCAUGNCUGCCUGAGCGUCCUC
rnacentral:rRNA from 1 species